rnacentral:lncRNA from 1 species
UCUUUAAAUUAGCUUCAUUUCUUUUUUGUUUCUUUUGGUAAGCAAUUACAUAUAUUUCUUUUGGUAAGCAAUUACAUAUAUCCCCUACUUUAAAGUCCUAAUUACAUAUUUACCCAACCCAAAAAAUUAAAUUAUAUAUUUCCCUUUUCUAUAGCAAAAUGACACAAAUACCCUUUCAAACGUAAAAAACUUACGAUCUUUCAUUCCCUCCCACCCAUUACCCCAACGACUCCUCCCUGAUGAAAACGAUAGUUGCCAGAUCCUACACCGGCAAUACGAACCGGCAACGAGAAGAGAACCGGCGACCAUAACCGGCAACACACCAUGCCAUUGCGAACCGUAAUGGAAGAAGAGAACAGUUCUGAUUGCUGAAAGAUCUACAUGGCCGUUUUCUUUCAAGAAUUCUUGAUACCAUCUACCUGACAAUUUGGGUACCCUGUCAAAUGUUUCCCGGUCAACAUAGUGUAACCCGAAUCUGUUAUUGUAACCCUGAGCCCAUUCGUAGUUGUCCAUCAACGACCAUAUAAAGUAGCCACGGACAUCCGCUCCAUUCCUGUUAUUCAAAGAAAAAUUUAAUCCCCUUUUGACUUUCAUGGUCAGUGCCAAGUAUAGUUAUGACACCAACAUAGUCGAGGCUUAAUGACAAAUCUUAUUGUAGGUUUCAAGCUAGUGGAAGGUUAAUUCGCGCUGAGUUUAUAGCUUACAAGUCAAAGUAUACCAAACUCACCUUAUAGCUUCAGCUAAAGAAGCAAGAUAUGUCUGAUGGAAUUCAAUUCGCUUGAAAUCGUUCAGUAUCUCUUCAACUUUUACAUCCUGCACAUGUGGUGAUGAAUACCCUGAAACAAAAUCACCGAAAUUAUUAAUAUAGUAUUAUAGAUGACUUAGUCUCCAAUAGACACAUGUUGACAGUGACAAAACUUACCAUUUUCGGUGAUAAACAUGGGUGUGUUAUUGUACCUAGUUUUGAAAUAGUUAACAAUCUCUUCCAUGCCUCUAGGAACCACAAAAAAUCUUGGCAUUGAUGUCUGUCAAAUACAAAAUCCUUCAUUUUUAUACCAACUUUGUAAUUUUUCCAAAAUAAAAUAAAAACAUAAACAGCACAUGAACCAGAAUCAGUAUAUCGUAGUACCGGAUCACCGAUCGGCACACCGUUACGCUCUCCAGUAAUUUCCACAAAACCUUUGAUGGCACGAUUAGCAGUUUCUGUGCAGCUAGAAUUCAUACAAUCUUUGGUGUAUAUAGCUGAAUAAUGGUUGAUUCCAAUAAAAUCAAUACUGU